CGUGCGGAGCAGCUGCCACAGCCCUUUUAGACAUUAACCAGCGCGGGGAGGGACGAGUUGGACGUGCGGUGCGUCGGAUAUAUUCUGCAAUCGGCCAGGUGCUUGUACGGAGGCAGAAUCAAAAUCGAUGGCGAGCUAGACACUGUUGGUCUGGUAGGAGGCUCUGGCCGCCUGGUUUCCUCCUCACCUUGUGGCACACAAUGUGGAUUGUUUUUCCCAAGCGCCUCAUCUCCUAUGAACUCUGUGGUUUGCGAUACAUAACCUGGUGUGUGUGGAACUGAAGCCCUAAUGGUUACAUCAGGGAUUAAUGUGACUUAAAUGUUGUUGAUGCAUCAGACAGGUCAAGUGCACUGUACUAGUUAAUUAUUUAAUCUGC